rnacentral:rRNA from 1 species
UACAGAGGUCUCAAGCGUUGUUCGGAUUCAUUGGGCGUAAAGGGUGCGUAGGCGGCGCGGUAAGUCGGGUGUGAAAUUUCGAGGCUUAACUCCGAAACUGCAUUCGAUACUGCGGUGCUUGAGGACUGGAGAGGAGACUGGAAUUCAUGGUGUAGCAGUGAAAUGCGUAGAGAUCAUGAGGAAGACCAGUGGCGAAGGCGGGUCUCUGGACAGUUCCUGACACUGAGACACGAAGGCCAGGGGAGCAAACGGG